UACGUAGGCCGCGAGCGUUGUUCGGAGUUACUGUGCGUAAAGGGUGUUUAGGCGGUUUUCUAAGUUUGGUGUGAAAUCUCCCGGCUUAACCGGGAGGGUGCGCCGAAAACUGGGAGACUAGAGUGCGGGAUGGGAGAGUAGAAUUCCUGGUGUAGCGGUGAAAUGCGUAGAUAUCAGGAGGAAUACCGGUGGUGUAGACGGCUCUCUGGACCGCAACUGACGCUGAGACACGAAAGCGUGGGUAGCAAACAGG
rnacentral:rRNA from 1 species